AUCCAGCCAGCCACCUACCUACCUACCUACCUUUUCCUCAAGAAAGUAGGAAGGACUUUUCAUUCAAACAACAUCCUGUGCUUCAAAGGGAGUGGAAUGGAAUACGAGUGCCCUACCUAUGGAAACCACGCUGGUAUUGGGUAAAUGCCUGUGAACCUUAUCUCCCGAGUACAAAGCAGCUGGAUUUCUAUACAUUAUACUCAAGGAAAACUCUACAUUGUCUGCAAAUUCCAAAGGUUGAAGUGCAACUUGCCUACCUGAAGCAACAGUAGCAGAGGGUGAUAAAGUAGCUGCAGAGUACCAAAGAAGCCAGACUGAAAGUGAUGUGUAAGUGGUGGAAAAAACUAUUGCAAG